UUUCCUUUAUAAAUAGCUACAAACUUUCACGUACACCUAAUUUUGAACCCUUGGUCUCUCUUAAGUAGAAACAAAAUCCGAACCAACACUUUGACGUACAUACUUCCGCCGCCGAUGUUGUUUUCUGUACAUACACUACAAAAGAGCACGGUUUUUUUGUUAUUUGAGUCAACAAAAACCACACACCACACAAGUCAGAAACCAGAAAAUAGCAAGACACACAAUUGGAAGCAAUUCAAAGCGAAAUUGAAAACGACGAUGAAAAGAAGAGAAACUGUCUGCACCGAAAGCGCCCCCUCCGCGUCGGAUCUAAACGAUCUCCAAGAAGCCACCGCACACAGCGGAAUCACACGAUCCCGCACGCCGUUAUACCACAUCAAGAUCGACCGCCACAGAAGUCGGUCCCCUUCGCUUUUCCGAACUGAAUCGCUCCGUCACGUAUGAAGACCGACGCCGCUACUAUCCGCUGCUGAUCCGGUAACCCUUUCUGCGUUUUGGCAUCCCUAAAUCCUGUGUUGUUAUCUAUUUAUUAAAUGUUGUGGGUUUUGAGAUUUUUGUUUAAAUGAAAUUUGAGAAUGAAGAACAUGAUGCUAUUGGGGAGAAAGAGAUAUGUGUGGGUCUGUGAUAUUGUUGUGGUUAAUUAUCUCUAUUUCUAACACUGGUUUUUUUUAAAUUAAUUUUAUUGCCACUUGUCAUAGUUUAAUUGGCUGGAGUUAAAGAGUUAUGAAAGGUCAAAAUUCAUUUGUUUUUUCUUUUAAUAAUUGUUUUGUUCAUGAGAGAAACAACAGCAAGGAUGUAGCACCCCUGGCCUGUACGUUUCUUUUACUUCUUUUACCUUUUUUUUUUUUUUUUCUAUUUUAUAUAUUAUGAUUAUUAUAUGAUAAUGAAAGUUUUGUGUAAAAAAAAAAAGAGGAGGAAAAUUCAAAAGCUCAAAUAAUGAUUAAUUAGUUUCAUCAUAUUAAAUAAAAAAUACAUACACAAAAAAAAUAUCUUUAUUUAGUAGUUUCUCUUUAGAAUCUAAUGUCUAUUGCGAGGUACAUUCAACUGUUUAUCUAUUCUCGAGGAUACUCAAAUAAUGAUUAAUUAGUUGUUAAUAUUUUUGAUAUUUUCUCAUCUGCUAUUUGCUGGCCCGUACCAUCUUUUUCUUGUCUAUUGCGAGGUACAUUCAACUGUUUAUCUAUUCUCGAGGAUACUCGCAAAUUAUCAAACUUUUCAGGGUUAUCCUCAGGAUCAUCCGACUACGCGCUAUAUCAGAUCAAAAAGCUAAGUCUUUGAUUUUAUUAUUUUAAAUAUCAUUUUAUUUUUCCUUUAAUUUAAUUACUCUUCCUUUUUUUUUAUUUUUACUCUUUUGGCAAAUGAACUCUGCAUACACUCACAUCUAUUUUUCUGUCUUUGCCUUGCCACUUUUCAGGGUUAACCUUGAGGCUUCCUCCGACCGCCAAUCAUGUCAGAUCAAAUUCAAAGUUAAGUGUUGGUUUAUUUAUGUAUUCAUUUUUUAUUUCUUUAUCCUUUUGUUGUUUAGGGUUAGUUUUGUUUAUCUCCGAACCGAUAAUGCACUCACCCUACUUUUGCUUUUUUUUUUUUACUGUUUCUUCAGGGUUUGUCAAUUGCAAAAACUACGAAUAUCGGUAACCCUAAACCCUGACCUCAAUUAUUACUUAUGUCAAACCCUAUUAAGGGAUCCGCUGGUUACAAUUUCCCUCCCCCAUAUCUGUUUUGGUUAUAUUAUUUAAAUGCGUGGUUAGUAAUCCUAGGGAGUGCAACCUUUGAAUUUAACAUAGAAUCACUAAUUUUACAAGAUAAUAUAUUCGAAUAUGAUCACGUGAUUGAUGCACACACGCACACUUUUGGGUAACCUCUCUGUUGCCUUGUUGCCUGUUGCCUGUUGCCUUUGCCUUGUGUAUUUUUUGCAGAAUAGCCAGUCCCUCGAAUACGAGGAUACCUCAGCCAUGUUGCCUCGAUUAAAGGUCAUGUUCCCUAAUGAUGCUGCCUUCGAUACACUAACAUGACCUCGACCCUCGGAAGUUGCCUAUGAAAAAGGCUGAGGUAUCCUCUGGUUGCCUACGAAAGGCUAUUCUGAUCCUUCCUCUUAGACUACCUGCCUCUUUAUGGCAUGGGCCAGUCUUUGAGCGAAUGAUAAUUCGAUGACCCUUCUACCUCCAAACGAAAGGCUUCCUGCCCUCUUAUGGCAAGGAUUGACCCUUUCAUUCUGAAAGGGUAAAAAGAGACCUAUCAUCUGAGUUUAAGGUAAUUGCCCCUAAUUGCCUUGCCAUGCUCUAUUUUCUAUAUUCUUUCUCAAAAUUCUUCAAAAAUUGGCUACGCUCAUUUUACGAGCUAAUGUCCAUUUUUUCCUCUUUCAUCUACAUUUUCUGAAAACGAGCAAGUAAAGCAAUUAAGAGCCCAUGGAAAACCAUGGAUGCAAAGGGUGCCUUACACCUUCCCUUUGCAUAAAUUACCCCCCGAACUUAGAUUUCUUUAAAAGGUUUUUUUCUGUUUCUUUUAGCCUUUCUGAAUUUGUUUGGAUAAAAUAAAAGUCGGUGGCGACUCAUGCUUAACCGCGACAUUUUCGA